GGGUUCCUCUGACACCCUAUUUAUAGAGGAUCUUGUGUAGGGACAGGAAAGUGGAAAGACAAUUGAGAGAAAAAAGAGGAAAAUAAGUAGGCUUUGUUUUUUUUUUGGUUAUUGGAAAAGCUUUUAGUUUUACUGUGUUUUGAUCCCUUUUCACCUGUUUUGUUCUCAUGCAGUAAGAUAAAAAAAGUCUGAUACUCUGAUUCACGGUUUAACUUAUCUGACCUCUAAUUUGGUCAGGUUUUGAUAAUUGUGAUUCCGCAAGUAUUGUUACUUAUCUUUGCCAUUGCAACCAUUUAACACUCUAUCCUUGGUUACUUGGUUUGUUACAGGGACUAU
rnacentral:misc_RNA from 1 species